rnacentral:rRNA from 1 species
UGGGGAAUAUUGGACAAUGGGCGCAAGCCUGAUCCAGCCAUGCCGCGUGAGUGAUGAAGGCCUUAGGGUUGUAAAGCUCUUUCACCGGGGAAGAUAAUGACGGUAUCCGGAKAAKAAGCSCCGGCUAACUUCGUG